CCUGGCUCCAGAUUGAACGCUGGCGGCAGGCUAACACAUGCAAGUCGAGCGGGGGAAGGUAGCUUGCUACUGGACCUAGCGGCGGACGGGUGAGUAAUGCUUAGGAAUCUGCCUAUUAGUGGGGGACAACAUCUCGAAAGGGAUGCUAAUACCGCAUACGUCCUACGGGAGAAAGCAGGGGAUCUUCGGACCUUGCGCUAAUAGAUGAGCCUAAGUCGGAUUAGCUAGUUGGUGGGGUAAAGGCCUACCAAGGCGACGAUC
rnacentral:rRNA from 1 species